rnacentral:lncRNA from 1 species
AUGAGGCCUGCACUCACCAGCAGAGCCGCAGUGUCCUCUGAUUUAUCAUCUGAACUCUGAUGGAUUGUUCCGAGAUUUAUCCACAAUUCUGCAUCAUGAUUUGCAUUAUCCACAAUUCUGCAUCAUGAUUUGCCCCACCACAUCAGCUGUUGGUUGAUGAGAAUUCGUAUAAUGUGCUAAGAAAACAUAGGUAGGUGUACUGCAAAGUGUGAUAGCAUUAUAUACUUGAUAGAUCUUAAACAUGGCUUUGUACAUAGACAUCAUGAUACUUGAUAUCUCAAGCGCACUUCAGCUGUCCUCUGUGAUAACGCUGAGAUACCAGCUCAGAAGUAUCUACUAAAGAUCCCGCUCUGGAUAAGCUGGAGCUGGGAAUUCGUAAACCAUGCUUAUUCAGCUCUGUACCUGCUUAUUUAGCAGUUGAACUGCACUUCUGGUGAAGUACUUCAUACUUAAUGUACACCAUUUGUAGUGUUAUUGGAAGAUUUGGCCCGUAUGAUAUUUGUACCAGCUUGCAUCUCUGUGAGUUUAUCUACCGAACUGUAGUACUGUACUACAGGCAUAUGCGGUUGAACUGGUUUCUAAAUGCUGAUUUUCAGCUUGUCAGAUGAGUAAUCACAAUAAAGGCUCCUCUUUGAUUUGAAUGGAGAAGAAAUGACUUUUGUAGAGGCUCUCUUUGAUUUGAAUGGAAAACAUAGGACUGGAC